CUUGCAGGGGAGCAAUUGAACCAAAUAUUUCAUGGCUAGUCUCCACCAACUUUGCAUGCUCUAUCUAUUUUGUCUACUUAUCUCUCCCAUUGCAUCUAACCAAAUCCCCCAGCCUUAUGUCAUAUAUAUGGGGAGUUCAAUAAAUGGAAAUGGAGGAGGCAAUGCCACUGUUGCAGAGUUAGCAGCACGUCUGCAACUAUUAUCAUCCAUCAUUCCAAGUCAAGAGAGUGAGAGAGUAUCUCUACUCAAUUUUUACAGUCACGCAUUUAAGGGGUUCUCUGCAAUGCUUACGGAGAAUGAAGCUGCCUUACUAUCAGG